UCAAAGUUUUUUCUCCCUUACUUUCCUCCAUAUGGUUUCCCUUGGCCUACUUUGCCUCCAUUACCUUUCCCUCCUUUACCACCAUAUCCAACACUACCUUUCCCUCCCUUGCCACCAUAUCCAACACUACCCUUUCCUCCCUUGCCACCACUUCCUUCUUUGCCCUUUCCAUUCCCUCCUCUGCCACCCAUUCCACCAACUCCUCCUCUUUUCCAGCCACCUCCUCCACCAGCUUUUAACCUGGGAGAUCCAAGAACUUGGAUACCUCAUAUUCCUUCAUUUUCACCUCCUCCGCCACCUGCUUUUAAUCUAGGAGACCCCAGAACCUGGAUACCUCAUAUUCCUUCAUUUUCACCUCCUCCACCACCUGCUGUUAAUUUAAGAGACCCCAGAACUUGGAUACCUUAUCUCCCUCCAUCCCCUCCCAAUUGGCCUCGGAAUCAAAAUCCAUAAAUAGAUUGCCCCA
rnacentral:lncRNA from 1 species